rnacentral:rRNA from 1 species
UAGCGGAGGAAAAGAAACUAACAGGGAUUCCCUUAGUAAGGGCGACUGAACCGGGAAGAGCCCAGCGCAUAACCUCGCGUCCUAACCGGCGCGAGGGGUGUUGCGUUUCGGAGGGUCCGGCACGCCGUCUCGUACCGCCUAAGUUAUGCUUGAAAGCGGCCACUACCCAUGGAGGGUGACAGGCCCGUGUGGCGGCGCCCGCGAGGGUACAUACGAGAUGGUCGGAAAGGGCCUCUCCGCAGAGUCGGGUUGCUUGAUAAUGCAGCCCUAAGC